UUAAUCGAUAACCCUUAAAUGCAAAAUGUAAAUUCCUUGUCAACGUCCAUCUCUGAUCAGGCUGUCAAUAUCGGCACUGAUUUUCGCCCAAUAAACCGCAUGAUCAAAUUCUAGAGAGUGAACAAAAGUUAAGCAAAAUAAGCCUCAUAGAUUAUUCGCAAUUGAAAUUCAAUAGAAAAUAUGACUUGCAAUGGACUGCAAACAAUUUUCUUGAGUUGAUUAACUCUGCAAGAGCUUGUGUGGUGCUCCGAAUUCGAUUAUUUUUCCUGCAUCUACAACCAGGACACUGUCGUUGUCCAUGACUGUGUGAAGACGAUGAGCAAUGGUCAACACCGUACACUGGGCAAACUUGGUUAUCAAUAAUUACUUACUCU
rnacentral:sRNA from 1 species